AUGCUUUGGGGUGGGGUGACUGCGUACCUUUUGUAUAAUGGGUCAGCGACUUAUAUUCUGUAGCAAGGUUAACCGAAUAGGGGAGCCGGAGGGAAACCGAGUCUUAAUUGGGCGUUAAGUUGCAGGGUAUAGACCCGAAACCCGGUGAUCUAGCCAUGGGCAGGUUGAAGGUUGGGUAACACUAACUGGAGGACCGAACCGACUAAUGUUGAAAAAUUAGCGGAUGACCUGUGGCUGGGGGUGAAAGGCCAAUCAAACCGGGAGAUAGCUGGUUCUCCCCGAAAGCUAUUUAGGUAGCGCCUCGUGAAUUCAUCUCCGGGGGUAGAGCACUGUUUCGGCUAGGGGGCCAUCCCGGCUUACCAACCCGAUGCAAACUGCGAAUACCGGAGAAUGUUAUCACGGGAGACACACGGCGGGUGCUAACGUCCGUCGUGAAGAGGGAAACAACCCAGACCGCCAGCUAAGGUCCCAAAGUCAUGGUUAAGUGGGAAACGAUGUGGGAAGGCCCAGACAGCCAGGAUGUUGGCUUAGAAGCAGCCAUCAUUUAAAGAAAGCGUAAUAGCUCACUGGUCGAGUCGGCCUGCGCGGAAGAUGUAACGGGGCUAAACCAUGCACCGAAGCUGCGGCAGCGACACUGUGUGUUGUUGGGUAGGGGAGCGUUCUGUAAGCCUGCGAAGGUGGCCUGUGAGGGUUGCUGGAGGUAUCAGAAGUGCGAAUGCUGACAUAAGUAACGAUAAAGCGGGUGAAAAGCCCGCUCGCCGGAAGACCAAGGGUUCCUGUCCAACGUUAAUCGGGGCAGGGUGAGUCGACCCCUAAGGCGAGGCCGAAAGGCGUAGUCGAUGGGAAACGGGUUAAUAUUCCCGUACUUGGUGUUACUGCGAAGGGGGGACGGAGAAGGCUAUGUUGGCCGGGCGACGGUUGUCCCGGUUUAAGCGUGUAGGUGUGUGUUCCAGGUAAAUCCGGUUCACUUUAACACUGAGGCGUGACGACGAGGCACUACGGUGCUGAAGCAACAAAUGCCCUGCUUCCAGGAAAAGCCUCUAAGCAUCAGGUAACAUCAAAUCGUACCCCAAACCGACACAGGUGGUCAGGUAGAGAAUACCAAGGCGCUUGAGAGAACUCGGGUGAAGGAACUAGGCAAAAUGGUGCCGUAACUUCGGGAGAAGGCACGCUGACACGUAGGUGAAGUGAUUUACUCAUGGAGCUGAAGUCAGUCGAAGAUACCAGCUGGCUGCAACUGUUUAUUAAAAACACAGCACUGUGCAAACACGAAAGUGGACGUAUACGGUGUGACGCCUGCCCGGUGCCGGAAGGUUAAUUGAUGGGGUCAGCGCAAGCGAAGCUCCUGAUCGAAGCCCCGGUAAACGGCGGCCGUAACUAUAACGGUCCUAAGGUAGCGAAAUUCCUUGUCGGGUAAGUUCCGACCUGCACGAAUGGCGUAAUGAUGGCCAGGCUGUCUCCACCCGAGACUCAGUGAAAUUGAACUCGCUGUGAAGAUGCAGUGUACCCGCGGCAAGACGGAAAGACCCCGUGAACCUUUACUAUAGCUUGACACUGAACAUUGAGCCUUGAUGUGUAGGAUAGGUGGGAGGCUUUGAAGUGUGGACGCCAGUCUGCAUGGAGCCGACCUUGAAAUACCACCCUUUAAUGUUUGAUGUUCUAACGUGGACCCGUUACCCGGGUUGCGGACAGUGUCUGGUGGGUAGUUUGACUGGGGCGGUCUCCUCCUAAAGAGUAACGGAGGAGCACGAAGGUUGGCUAAUCCUGGUCGGACAUCAGGAGGUUAGUGCAAUGGCAUAAGCCAGCUUGACUGCGAGCGUGACGGCGCGAGCAGGUGCGAAAGCAGGUCAUAGUGAUCCGGUGGUUCUGAAUGGAAGGGCCAUCGCUCAACGGAUAAAAGGUACUCCGGGGAUAACAGGCUGAUACCGCCCAAGAGUUCAUAUCGACGGCGGUGUUUGGCACCUCGAUGUCGGCUCAUCACAUCCUGGGGCUGAAGUAGGUCCCAAGGGUAUGGCUGUUCGCCAUUUAAAGUGGUACGCGAGCUGGGUUUAGAACGUCGUGAGACAGUUCGGUCCCUAUCUGCCGUGGGCGCUGGAGAACUGAGGGGGGCUGCUCCUAGUACGAGAGGACCGGAGUGGACGCAUCACUGGUGUUCGGGUUGUCAUGCCAAUGGCACUGCCCGGUAGCUAAAUGCGGAAGAGAUAAGUGCUGAAAGCAUCUAAGCACGAAACUUGCCCCGAGAUGAGUUCUCCCUGAGACUUAGAGUCUCCUGAAGGAACGUUGAAGACGACGACGUUGAUAGGCCGGGUGUGUAAGCGCAGCGAUGCGUUGAGCUAACCGGUACUAAUGAACCGUGAGGCUUAACCUUACAACGCCGAAG
rnacentral:rRNA from 1 species